rnacentral:ncRNA from 1 species
GAAUAUUUCAUUGACGUAAAAGGUUAGUUUUACCAAUUAAACUACAUAUGGCAGCUCAUACGUAUUGUGUUAUGAAUUAAUGUUUUAACUAAAUUUUAAAAAAUUAGCUUAAGAGUAAUUCAAUUAAGCUAAUUCUUAGCUUUAAACUUUACCACAACACCAAUGUCCUAUAUUAUGCUAGCUAGGAAACUAGGCCAUAGAAAAAAGUAAGAGGAGUGACAAAAAUGGUGCCAGCAGUCGCGGUUAUACCAGUACUCCAAGCUAAUUCUAACAAGACUGGAGUAGCUUUAUAAUUUAGACUACAAGAUUAACUUUUAGUGUAAAAAACAAAUUAUAACUAAACCCUAUUUAGUCAAACAUUAACCACUCCAACAAACCAUAAUCUCAGAACUCGGAUUAGAUACCCGACUACUGUAUGGCUCAACAUAUAUAAGAAUACUACGAGCGAAAGCUUAAACCUCAAACAAUGUGGCGGUGCUUUACUCCUCAUCAGGGGAUCCUGUGGCUUAAUUCGAUAAUCCACGAAAAUCUUAGCUACUCUAGACUUCCAGCUUGUGUAUGGCCGUUUAUGCUUGCUCUUAAAAGAAAAAAAAGGAAGCAGAAGAGGUUACUACCCCAAAAAUUCAGGUGACAUACAGCCAAUGAUUAGCAGAUCCAUGGGAUACAAAUAAACAUCCUAUCAAAUUUAAAAAUUAAAAUUUUUAAUAAAGGAGGACUUGAAAGUAAGGGUUACUCCAUCAAAUGACCCUGAAUAAGAACUAAAGCGCGCACAAAUCGCCCGUCACUCCGACAAUAAAGUAGGAUAAGUCGUAACAUAGUAGGGGUAAUGGAAAUUGCCCCUAUCACAA